AGAGUUUGAUCCUGGCUCAGGACGAACGCUGGCGGCGUGCUUAACACAUGCAAGUCGAACGGAGAAUAGCUGAGAGCUUGCUUUUGGCUAUACUUAGUGGCGGACGGGUGAGUAACGCGUGGGCAAUCUGCCCGUAAGAGGGGGAUAACACUUAGAAAUGAGUGCUAAUACCGCAUAACAUCAGAAGGUUGCAUGACCUUUUGAUCAAAGGAGUAAUCCGCUUACGGAUGAGCCCGCGUCUGAUUAGCUAGUUGGUGGGGUAACGGCCCACCAAGGCGACGAUCAGUAGCCGGCCUGAGAGGGUGACCGGCCACACUGGAACUGAGACACGGUCCAGACUCCUACGGGAGGCAGCAGUGGGGAAUCUUCCGCAAUGGGGGGAACCCUGACGCAGCAACGCCGCGUGAAGGAAGAAGGUUUUCGGAUCGUAAACUUCUUUGAUUGGGGACGAAAAAAAUGACGGUACCCAAAGAACAAGCCACGGCUAACUACGUGCCAGCAGCCGCGGUAAUAC
rnacentral:rRNA from 1 species